UAUAGGUUUGGUCCUGGCCUUUCUAUUAGUUACAAGCAAGACUACACAUGCAAGUAUCCGCACCCCAGUGAGAAUGCCCUAUGAAUCGCCCCAGGCGACAAAAAGGAGCGGGUAUCAAGUACACCUCUCCGAGGUAGCUCAUAACGCCUUGCUUAGCCACGCCCCCACGGGAAACAGCAGUGAUAAAAAUUAAGCAAUAAACGAAAGUUUGACUAAGCUAUGCUUGCAAGGGUUGGUAAAUUUCGUGCCAGCCACCGCGGCCAUACGAUUAACCCGAAUUAAUAGACCUACGGCGUAAAACGUGUUUAAGAAGCUACCUAUUACUAAAGUCAAACUCUAGCUACGCUGUAAAAAGCCCCAGCUCCUGUAAGCCCAACUACGAAAGUGACUUUAAAAUAUCUGAAUACACGAUAGCUAAGACCCAAACUGGGAUUAGAUACCCCACUAUGCUUAGCCUUAAACCCAAAGAAUUAUUAUAACAAAAUUCUUCGCCAGAGAACUACUAGCUAAAGCUUAAAACUCAAAGGACUUGGCGGUGCUUUAUAUCCCUCUAGAGGAGCCUGUUCUAUAAUCGAUAAACCCCGAUAAACCCCACCAACCCUUGCCAACUCAGCCUAUAUACCGCCAUCUUCAGCAAACCCUAAAAAGGAACUAUAGUAAGCUCAAUUACAUUACGUAAAAACGUUAGGUCAAGGUGUAGCCUAUGGGUUGGGAAGAAAUGGGCUACAUUUCCUAUUUCUAGGUCAUAUACAUUACCAAACGAAAGUCCUUAUGAAAUUAAGGACCAAAGGUGGAUUUAGCAGUAAACUAAGAAUAGAGCGCUUAGUUGAAUGAGGCAAUGAAGCACGCACACACCGCCCGUCACCCUCCUCAAAUAUUAAUGGUGGACUUCAAACAUAUUAACACCCACUACAGAUACUAGAAGAGACAAGUCGUAACAAGGUAAGCAUACUGGAAAGUGUGCUUGGAUAACC
rnacentral:ncRNA from 1 species